rnacentral:rRNA from 1 species
ACGGAGGGUGCAAGCGUUAUCCGGAAUCAUUGGGUUUAAAGGGUCCGCAGGCGGACGUAUAAGUCAGUGGUGAAAGCCCAUCGCUUAACGAUGGAACUGCCAUUGAUACUGUACGUCUUGAAUUCGGUCGAAGUGGGCGGAAUGUGACAUGUAGCGGUGAAAUGCUUAGAUAUGUCACAGAACACCGAUAGCGAAGGCAGCUCACUAGGCCUGGAUUGACGCUCAUGGACGAAAGCGUGGGGAGCAAACAGGAUUAGAUACCCUGGUAGUCCACGCCGUAAACUAUCAAUACUCGUUUUCAGCGAUAUACAGUUGGAGACUAAGCGAAAGUGAUAAGUAUUGCACCUGGGGAGUACGAUCGCAAGGUUG